AAGAUGAAGAUGAAGAUGAAAACAACUAAUGUUGAAAAGAAGAAGAGAAAAGGAUGAGAUAUUGAUGGUUUUAUCUAAAAUUGUAGACAUAUUCAACCCAUACUGAUGAUGAUCAACAACAAUGCAAGUUUUACUGAAUUAUGCUGUUGAGCCAUUUUUGAUUCCAGAAGGCUUGCUUUCAGUAUAGCUUUAUCCCAUAUUUUGGAACAUCUGAAAGCUUGCUCGAUCAUCAUUUUAUGAUCAUGAUGUACUGACUAAUGUACAUCUGAAUUGAAUGGAUAAACACCAUACUCCAUCAUAAUCAUCGCCAUUUCAUACUUUUCUACUCUCCUUUCAUAUUCAACUUGACCACUUUCCCAUGAUUAACCAGACUUGAUUAAGAUGAAAAGUUGAUUCAUCAUUUAAUCGCAAUUAUCUCCACAAUUAUUAACGUCAAAUGGUCAAUAGUCCUUAAAAUUAUUUUCAUAUCAAUUUAACUGGUGUUCAUUUUUUGGUACCAAUUUAACAUUCCAUAGCAUUACAAAUGUUUGCUCAGCCAAAAUCCAUCAAUUGAAAAAAAGACUAAACGAUCGAUGAUGGACUUUACCUGUUUCCGUGUUGUAAUAUUGCGGCCAACACAGUAUUGAACGGAUUAACUUUGAAAGGCAGGAGGUGAUUGAGAAAGAUGGUGAUAAAUAAGCAAAAGCAAAAGAUGAUGAUGAAGGAUACUGAAGAGAUUGAAUAGCCGAUAUAUUCAACAACAGACAAUAGUUUCCUUGGGUCAGUUUUAUCCUGGUUGACCGUAAACCUCAUUCUUCAAGUUUGCUCACCACUCUUUUUGUGCCUUUUUUCAGAAAAGUGUAUUUACCGGUUCAUUGGACUUUCUUCCGCUUUUGAUAUCAAAUGAUUGAUUAGACUCGGUGGAUCACUGAUUUGUUGAUUGUAAAAUAACCAUAACCUAAGUAAUCUUAAUCUACUUACUAAACUGGCUUUAAUUAAUAAUUGGAUUCACAAUGUGAUUUAAUACAUAUUGGACGUUACUCACUGCUGAUAUAUUUAAAGGAUGAUCAACUUAACGACUACUGGGAAUAAAGGAAUGGAUAAAAAUGAUGGAAGAAAAGUUAACCCGGUCAAUUGAUCUUUUUUUCACCAAAUUCACCUGUUGAAAUGGUAAUGAUAAUGAAGUCAAUAGGAACGUGAUUAUUACAUUUUUGUGGCCCACAAAAAAAUAAGAAAGCUUUUCAAUAGAUUUGAAAUAAUCUAUGUUGGUGUCCAAAGUGAGGUUCAUUUGAAAAGUCAGGAUUCAACAUUCAACCAUUACCUUUACAAUAACCUUUGAUUGUUUUGCUGAUCAACCCUAAAGAUGCUAACAAACAUUUUCAACAAUGAAACUGCAUAAUCAAAUGAAAAGAUACUGUACUUGAAAAUAAUUUACAAUUACAUCAUUUAAUAAGUAAAAGGUAGCACCCAAAUUGAUUGAUCAUUAUCACAAUUCACCUAUUAUUAUUAUUAAGUGUUACUAUUCACCUCGAUCAUCAUCAUCGUAAUCAUAAACUCUUAAAGAUUGAAUGAUAAUCAUGUUAAAUGAGGAUGUUAAUGGUGAUGAAGCAGGAGGUGGUGGAGGAGGAGGUUUGGGUUAACCAGAAAACAAAAUAUAACAUUUACAUCACAAUGCAUUAAGAGUAAUAAAAGUGAAUUAGUUAAUAGCGUUGAUUGUGAUAUUGUGAGUGUUUGGCGAAACGGCAAUAAAACCAAAGUCAAAUGUUACCGAGAUAAAACCAGGUAAACGAAGCCAGAAAUAAAAUGUAAAACAGCAAUCAACUAAUAAUUGAUAAUGUUUGAUUAAACUAAAAGUUAACCUUUAAUCUCAACAUUAUUACAGGUUUAAGACUAAAAUUCAAAUAUUUGACAUUUCCUAUGUUAUAAAUAUUAUUCAAGUAAUUGUCUCAUUCAGAUCAUCGAUACAAAGUUGUAUUAAAUAAAUAUUCAUGUAUUAUAAAA